GUGCAGGCUGAUCAGCGAGGCUGGGUCUGAUCUGUGACUCUGCUCUUUCCUGUAUGUCUGCUAGAGAGACGGUGGGGUGGUUUGAGACCUGGCUGUGUUCCUCCACACAGCACGGUUAGAUGAAUCUCAUACAGAC
rnacentral:snoRNA from 1 species